rnacentral:lncRNA from 1 species
UGAAAUCAUCCCUUCGUAAAUUUUACGGACGCCAUCACGAGUUGGUUGACCGUUAUGGAAUAACCGUUUCACAAAUGAUAUCGGACAUGUUCCUUACGUCGUAACUACAAUCCCCUUACCUUUCAUGAAUGUGACCUACCGAAUUAGACUAUUUACCGGAUUUGUUAUCACAUAAGCAAUACGACGGGUGCCACAUGUGGAGCAGGAUCUGCUUACCCUUCCGGAGCACCUGAGAUCACCCUAGUUUUUUGGUGGGGUUCGUGUUGUUUAUUCUUUGGUUUUCUAUGUUGUGUCGUGUGUGCUGUUGUUUGUUUGUCUUUUUCGUUUUUAGCCAUGGCGUUGUCAGUUUGUUUUGGAUUUAUGAGUUUGACUGUCCCUUUGGUAUCUUUCGUCCCUCUUUUAAAUGA